rfam:Salmo salar isolate Sally breed double haploid chromosome ssa10, whole genome shotgun sequence.
AUCCCUGUGGCUCAGUUGGUAGAGCAUGGUGUUUGCAAUGGUGGUUGCAAUGCCAGGGUUGUGGGUUCGAUUCCCACGGGGGGCC